rnacentral:rRNA from 1 species
ACGCUGGCGGCGUGCCUAAUACAUGCAAGUAGAACGCUGAAGGAGGAGCUUGCUUCUCCGGAUGAGUUGCGAACGGGUGAGUAACGCGUAGGUAACCUGCCUGGUAGCGGGGGAUAACUAUUGGAAACGAUAGCUAAUACCGCAUAAGAGUAGAUGUUGCAUGACAUUUGCUUAAAAGGUGCAAUUGCAUCACUACCAGAUGGACCUGCGUUGUAUUAGCUAGUUGGUGGGGUAACGGCUCACCAAGGCGACGAUACAUAGCCGACCUGAGAGGGUGAUCGGCCACACUGACUGAGACACGGCCCAGACUCCUACGGGAGGCAGCAGUAGGGAAUCUUCGGCAAUGGACGGAAGUCUGACCGAGCAACGCCGCGUGAGUGAAGAAGGUUUUCGGAUCGUAAAGCUCUGUUGUAAGAGAAGAACGAGUGUGAGAGUGGAAAGUUCACACUGUGACGGUAUCUUACCAGAAAGGGACGGCUAACUACGUGCCAGCAGCCGCGGUAAUACGUAGGUCCCGAGCGUUGUCCGGAUUUAUUGGGCGUAAAGCGAGCGCAGGCGGUUAGAUAAGUCUGAAGUUAAAGGCUGUGGCUUAACCAUAGUACGCUUUGGAAACUGUUUAACUUGAGUGCAAGAGGGGAGAGUGGAAUUCCAUGUGUAGCGGUGAAAUGCGUAGAUAUAUGGAGGAACACCGGUGGCGAAAGCGGCUCUCUGGCUUGUAACUGACGCUGAGGCUCGAAAGCGUGGGGAGCAAACAGGAUUAGAUACCCUGGUAGUCCACGCCGUAAACGAUGAGUGCUAGGUGUUAGACCCUUUCCGGGGUUUAGUGCCGCAGCUAACGCAUUAAGCACUCCGCCUGGGGAGUACGACCGCAAGGUUGAAACUCAAAGGAAUUGACGGGGGCCCGCACAAGCGG